GUCAAAUUAUUUCGUGACGUCUCUGACUCUCGCUCGUAUUUGUUUGCACAAAAUUUCGCGAUAAUAUUAUAUCAAAUAUAUUUUCCUCUUUCUGUAGAUUAAUACAGCAUAAUUCAGCAAACAUGACUUCGACAAUGCCGACAGAAGAGCGUCGCCGAAGGGUGCUCUUAGGCCCCCUUCCUGCAGGCUUCCUCCGUGCAGAUGGAGCUACGGACACUGUUGAUGCAGAUUACCAGGCAGCCCUCGCUCUUCAACAGCAGUUAUGUGGUGCUCAAGUACCACCUGCUGGUCCCCCUUUGACAGCAAGGUUGAGCAUCACGAUAGCACAGGCUAAACUAUCUAAAAAUUAUGGUCUAACACGUAUGGACCCGUACGUGCGGCUGCGCGUGGGGCACUGCAUAUACGAGACUCACACCGACCCCAGCGGCGGUAGGACGCCCAGGUGGAACAAGGUUAUUCACUGUUUGCUGCCCCCCGGCGUGAACUCCAUUUACCUGGAGAUCUUCGACGAAUGCUCGUUCACAAUGGACGAGCUGGUCGCUUGGGCACAUAUCACCAUACCACCAGCUGUUUUACAAGGAGAAACAUUUGACAAUUGGUUUGCUCUCAAUGGCAAACAAGGAGAUGGCAAGGAGGGUGUAAUCAACCUGGUCCUCAGUUACUCUGUGGGCCCAGCAGCGGUAGCAACAUUCCCCCCCAUGCUAGUGGUGCCCAGCACCGGCAUGGGUUACGCCGCCAUGCCGAUGUACCCCGCACCGCAGCCGCAUAUGCAGCAACAACAGCAAAUGCAACAGAUGCAACCGCCUCCCAUCACUGCUGAGCAGUUGCAACAGAUCGAAGAAAUGUUCCCGAGCAUGGAUAAGGAAGUCAUAAAAUCAGUUUUGGAAGCCAACGGCGGUAACAAGGAUGCCACUAUAAACUCACUGUUGCAAAUGUCGGAAUAAUAUCACUAUAUACACAGUACGUAUCAUGACAUGUUAUAUAUACAAUAUACACUCGCAUAUUGCAUUAUAUUGACGUUUAGUCAACAAUAUUUAAUAACGUAUAGGUAUAUUGUUAAAAUGAGAUUCAACUUUCAAGCAUGUAUUUCAGGGUGUUUCUAAAGGCCGAAUACUGAAACGCCACUUCAUUUUAAGCACUGUUUAAACAUCAUAUAACCCUGUCACGCUUAUGAAUGUUUCUGCAACACAUUUAAGUUCAAUAACGUUUUAGAAGAAGGUUAUAGUUAUAGCCUAUAUUAACUUGGUGCGCGGAGUACUUGAUGCGGGCUGUCGGUGAAACCGCUGUGGCAGUUUCUCAACCUUCUACUUAAAAUUGUGUGGCGUUUAAAUAUUCGACCAUUAUUCAAAUACACCUUCAUAAUUUGUUAUCCAAAAUAUUUCUACAACAACUGGGCAGAAAUCCGUAAAUCACGUAGUUUGCACAUAUAUGUACUAAAAAUACUCUUAUCACCUCGUAUAAUUAAUUGUUUAAUUAAAACGCAUAAUUCCCCAAUUUAAUAUUUUGUAUAAAAACAGUAGCUCGCUUUUGAUUAGGAAAAGCAAUUUUGCAAGCGUUAUCUAAAUUUUAAAACUACGGAUUUCAGCCCAGUUUUUUAUAAGGUGACUGAUACUUGAACACAUGAUUACAAACAGCUUUCCCAAAGGAACUUUUUUAUAUUCAUUGGUUUAAUCGAAAUAACAGCUGUUUCAAACUUUGAACUUCACUCCAAAUUUUUAUUUUAUUUAUUUAUUCAUUUAAAUCAGGCAUCAAGGCCCCUAGAACACACUAUAAGUACAUAAAUAUUAUAACAUUAAAUCAUAUACUAAUACAUAUUUUAUAUAAACUACUUAAAACUAGUGCACACGAAGUAUUGGCAUCGUGUUACGCUGCGAGGUGUCGCGUAGCCUUCCUCGGAACCUCCGAUAUACGACACCCUUCGGCCAAAACUCUUCCUUGAAGGAAGGUGUCGAUGUGAUGAGUUGUAAACAGGUGUUUUGGCUAAGUCAUGAAUUAAUAAAAGUUUCUCUGGAAAAGUUUUUUAUAAUCAUGAGUAGAAUCACAUGUUCAAUUGUAAGUCACUAAUAACCAGUCACCCUAUAUAAUUCCUAAGUAAGAGCAACUGUAAAGGCCAAUUCAAGAGUAUUGAGAAACACUCAUUUUUACUAAUUUCAGCAGUACUGAAAACGUUCAUAAACAUACUGUAUAACUUAUGUGAAGAAAAAUCUAGAAAUUUAAAGCUUUCGGCCUUAUUUUAGAAGCUGUAAGCAAUUUGAUACUAAAGUAUUGUACAUAAUGUUUUAAUCGACUAUGAAAAUGUGGUGCAUUCGUUCCAUCGCGUUAUUUUACUGAGAAAUUACCUGCACUGUUUUUGUAAGAUGUUCGGUGUAUAGAAAACCUUCAAAACUAUUCUUAUUGUUACUGUAAAACUGUUUUUUAUAUGGCAUACUAUUCUAUUUAGAUUUUUUUUUGCUCAAAAUUGCCAAUUUAAUUUUUAUUUUAAGUUAUUCCAAUUAUUAUGUGUUUAGUAUCUAGAUUGAUUACUAUUAUUGUGAUUUCUGUUAUAUUUUAAUUUUAAGUAAAUAAAACUAAACAUUUGGCACGUUAAAUGCUAGUAAACUUGCAAAAAUCUAUAAUAUCUAAGAUAAAAAUUAUUAUAUAUUAAGGAAUGUCCUACUAUUCUAAAUAUACAUAGUAUAAAUAUCUACUUAAUCAUUAUUUAAUUGAAAUAUAAAAUCUUCAUAAUUUUGCAAUGUUUUUUAAGCUUUUGUGUCAUUUGUUACAAUUAUGUUAUCUAAUAGUUGUAGUUAAGGUGCUUUUAGAAGAGCGAUUUCAAACUAGCAGAUUUUCACGAAAAAACCUGCGAGUUUGAAAACGCUGUAAACGUUAUUUUUUCAUUUUUAUCUCGCUAGUUUCAAUAAGAGAUUCUCUUUAUUCAAAUCAUGAAACACUUUUAUAGUGGAAGUUUAUUUUUGUUUUUUAUUGGAUCAAUCUAUCCUAUUCUGCAGAACAAAUGUGUAAGUUACGAGAACUAAAAUAAUUAUUACAUUGUAUUCAUUCGUAAAAGUAUGACACUUAUACUUAAAAAGGUAAACUGUAUAGCUCCGGCCUUACACGCGAAAGCUUAUACAAUUUUGUGCCAAAUUAUUUGCCAUCGUCGCAACAUUGCUUGAAUAUAAAUAUAUCAUUGUUGUAUUUAUUUGUAAUUUUACAAUGUAUUAUAAAAUGUAAUAAAUUAUUAACUACUUA